CCAAUCUUGGCUGUUCACUGGAGGCCUCAGCUCCUUACCACCCAGACCUCUCCCUAGGACUGAUUGAAUGUCCUCAUCAUGUGGCAGAUGUCUUCCCCCAAAGUGAGCGAUCCUAAGACGGCAUAGCAGAAACCUCAAUAUCUUUUAUAAUGUAGCCUAAGUAGUCACACAGUCUCAUUUCUUCAGGAUUCUGCCAGUGACACGGCCAGCCAUGACUUAGUGUGGAGGGGACUACACACGGGCAGGAUUACCAGGAGGGAGGAAUUGGUGGGGCCCAGCUUGGAAGCUGGUUACCAACACAGAGGUCUAGGAGGGGAAGAGUAAGAGUCCACAAGAGCACAGUGCUUCCGGGGUGGGAGAAGAGGGAACACAGGUCUUCCCCAGCUCCUGCCUGACCUCCUAGUGAGAAGGGGGAAGGUGGUGGUGACAGACUGCACAUGGCAGGUGGAGGGCUUUGAGUUUGUCCUUGUGGUCCAGUGGAGGCCAGAGGCAAGAGCUCUGUGAUGGACCCUAUCCAGACCAGCAGGGUGAGGAGGGAAAAUGGUCGCAGCAGUGUUGCUCCUGUAGAAUGGAGAGGUGGCUUUCCCCCAGGAAUGAGACAUCUGGCCAAAGGUAUUGGGGGCAGCGUUGUGACAGGGAGGCAGAGAUCAAGCCUACGUGGAGUGUGAUGCUGUGCUGCUCUGGCCUAAGGUGUGCAGCGUCUCCAAGGACACUGCUCAGCUCCCUUAGUAUCAGGGCAACUGCACCAGGCUCAAGCCAGAGAGCUCCAAGAAGGGCCAAAUUUCAGAAUGGACUCAAGACUGCUGCCUUUCCACUGUCAUCACUGCCCAGACUCCACUCAGACAAUCUCAAGAGAUUCCUUUAGAGCUCAGGUGCUUCCUUGUCUUCCCAUUUAUUUAGGGAUUUCUACCCAGAGGGUCAGAAAUUAACAGAAAGCCCAACUUCACUGCAACAAGGGGAAAUAGGAAUUUUGCUAUUUUCUGAUCAUGGACAAAUGCAGUCAGUUGUUUGAUGCCAGGAAAAUUCAUCUGCUACUAAAUCUCUACAUAUAUAUGACUUCAUUUUUUCAGUUUUCUUUGCUUCAAAGGAUGUUUAUUUAAGUUAUAUUUGUACGCUCUCCCCCUAAGACAUACAGAACACUGCGCAACUGUGAACUGUACUUAAGUAGGCAUUUCAUAUUCCAUUUUUACGGUAACCCCUUGCAGGGAAAGAGUCAGUGCAGCAAAUCUGUUUUGCUCAAUUCUAGCUUAUCUCUGAGGAUGUCUGGAGCCAGGAUCUAAGAACUAAACCUUGGAAUGUUCACAAAUGAUGUCAUUCUGUGCCCAGCACAUUGGGGUAGGACAUACUAAACCAUCAACACCAUUUAAAGCAAACAUGAACCUCUAUGAUGUACACCUGGUGCCUGGUUUGAGGCUCACAACACGAGUGCUUGCGUAGCAGGUAUGCACCAGAACUGUGCCUGAGUUCUCUGCUCUUCAAAGCUGGAAAGAAAACAUGUGUGUGUGUAAGCCAUGCAGAAGGACAAAAGCCUGUUCCUGAGCAUUUUAGCCUUCACCUGUACGUGUAUUUUUUUUUUUCUGUUCUGGCACUGUAUCUUUUGCAAUAAACCUUAGCGGUGAGUAGAAUCUGAUGCUGAGUUAUGCAGGUUCUUCUAGUGAAUUACUGAACCAGUGAGUAGUCAUAGGCCCCCAGAACCUGCCUAAUUUUCAAAGUAAAAUUUUUAAUUACUUGGAAUGAAGUUCAAUCCUAGAUACUACCUAGGAACAGCAACCUCAAAUAUCUCAUUACAGCUUUGCUGCUUUUAGAGUAAAUAAUCACAGAAACUUUUACCUCCCAGAGCCUAUUAAUUCCCCUCUCCACUUCUAUUCUUCUUAAUAACAAUCACAUAUAUACUGAUAGGAAUCACUGGUUAUUUUGAAGACAUAUAAGUGGUAAGGAACCCAGUUCCACCUCCUCCCACAGUAACAAAAUAAAGGAGGAAGCAAAGAUAUAUAGGAGCAAAAGUUUCGUGCACUAUCAAGAAUAAAUUGAGGCUGGGUGCGGUGGCUCACACCUGCAAUCCCAGCACUUUGGGAGGCUCAGGCAGGCAGACCACUUGAUGUCAGGAGUUCAAGACCAGCCUGGCCAACAUGGUGAAACUCUGUCCCUACCAAAAAAUACAAAAAUUAGCCAAGCAUGGUGGCACGCACCUGUAGUACCAGCUACUCGCCCAGCUGAGGUGGGAGAAUUGCUUGAACCCAGGAAGCGGAGGCUUCAGUGAGCCACGAUCGCACCACUGCACUCCAGUCAAGACCCUGUCUCAAAAAAUUUGUAAAAAAGGAAAAAUUGAUAUUAAUUUCAUCCAGAUUGUUAUAAAUUAUGUUAGUCGUAACCCCCAGGGCAAACACUAAGAAAAUGACUAAAAAUAUAUAGUAAAAGAAAUGAAAAUGGAAUCAAAAUGGUACUGUAAAAAAUAUCUUUCUGUGUACACUGACAGACAACACCAAAAAAAGAAAUAAAAUAUAUUUUUAAUACAAAAGAAGGGAAUAACAGGAACUGAGGAACAAAAAAUAUGUAAGACAUUUAGAAAACAAAAAUAAAAUGCAGAAGUAAUGAUCAGUAAUCACGUUAAAUAAAAAUAGAUUAAACUCUUCAUUUAAAAACCAGAUAUUGGCAGAAUGGGUGAACAUUUCCCAAUUAUACCCCAGCUACAAGAUACUCAUUUUUGUUUCAAGUCACACAUAGGUUGAAAAUGAGAGGACACAAAAAGAUAUUCCAUGAAAAUAGUAACCCAAAGAGAGCUGGAGUGGCUACUAAUGUCAGACAAAAUAGACUUUAAGACAAAAAUUGUUACAAGAGGCAAGGAGGGCAUUUAUAUAAUGAUAAAAGGGUCAAUUUAUUAAGAUAUAUAACAGGUAUAAACAUAUGCACUCAAUAACAGAGUCUCAAAAUAUAUGAAGCAAAAACUAACAGAAUUGAAGUGAGAAAUAGACAGUUAAAUAAUAAAAGUUGAAAAAUUCAACACCCUCCUUUCAAUAAUGAAUAGAACAACUAACCAUGGCCAGGUGCAGUGGCUCACACCUGUAAUCCCAGCACUUUGGGAGGCCGAGGUGGGUGGAUCACUUAAGGUCAGGAGUUUGAGACCAGCCUGGCCAACAUGGUGAAACCCCGUCUCAACUAAAAAUACAGAAAUUAGUCGGGUGUGGGGGCGGGUGCCCAUAAUCCCAGCUACUCGGGAGGCUGAGGCAAGAGAAUCGCUUGAACCCGAGAGGCAGAAGUUGCAGUGAGCCGAGAUUGCAUCACUGCACUUCAGCCUGGGUGACGUGACAAAGCAAGACUCCAUCUAAAAAAAAAAAAAAAAAGAAGAACAGCUAAAGAAAUGAUAAACAAGGAAACAGAAGACUUGAACAACACUUUAAACCAACUGAAUUGAACAGACAUAUAUAUAGCAUUUCACUAAACAACAGCAAAACAUACAUUAUUUUCAAGUGCUAAUGGAACAACUUCCAGGAUGACCAUAGGUUAAUCCACAAAUGAAGCCUCAAUAAGUGUAAAACAAGUGAAGGCAUACAAAGUAUCUUCUUUGACACAAUGGAAUAAACUUAGAAAUCAAUAGCAGAAGGAAAUUUAGAAAAUUCAGAAAUUUGUGGAAAUUAAAUGGCACACUCUUAAAUAACUGAUGGAUCAAAAAGAAAUAACAAGAGAAAAUUGAAAAUACUUUCAGAAAAACAAAACAUUCCCAAACCUAUGAGAUGCAGCAAAGGCAGCAGGCAGAGAGAAAUGUAUGGCUGUAAGUGCCCACAUUGAAAAGAAAAAAGAUUCAAAUCAACUGAACUUCAACCUUAAGGAACUAGAAAAAGGAAAGCAAUUAAACCCAAAGAGCAGAAGGGGAAAAAAUAACAAAGACUGGAGCAGGGAUAAAUGAAAUAGAAGACAGAAAAAUGAUGGAAAGAAUCAACAAAACCAAACGUUUAUUCUUGGAAAAGAUUGAUAAAAUAGGCAAAUUUGGCUGGCAAAAUGUGGUGGCUCACAACUGCAUUCCCAGAACUUUGGGUGGCUGAGGUAGGAGGAUUGCUUGAGGCCAGGAGUUUGACACCAGACUGGGCAACAUAGUGAGACCCCAUCUCUACUUUAAAAAAUGAAGACAAACUUUUAGCUAGACUGAUUAAAAGAGAGAGAGAGUGAGAGACAGAGAGAGAGAGAGAGAAGAAAAAAAUCAAGAAUUAAAGUGGAGACUUUACUACCAUCCUAACAGAAAUCAAAAGAAUUACAAGAGAGUGCUAUGAACAAUUGCAUGCCAACAAAAUAGAUAACAGAUGAAAUUGACAAAUUCCUAGAAACACACAAAACUAGUCAAACUGACAGAAGAAAAAAAAAUAAGCAAUCUGAAUACAACAGAUGAAGAGACUG
rnacentral:lncRNA from 1 species